AGCGAACGCUGGCGGUAGGCCUAACACAUGCAAGUCGAACGGCAGCACAGUAAGAGCUUGCUCUUACGGGUGGCGAGUGGCGGACGGGUGAGGAAUACAUCGGAAUCUACUUUUUCGUGGGGGAUAACGUAGGGAGACUUACGCUAAUACCGCAUACGACCUACGGGUGAAAGCAGGGGAUCUUCGGACCUUGCGCGAUUGAAUGAGCCGAUGUCGGAUUAGCUAGUUGGCGGGGUAAAGGCCCACCAAGGCGACGAUCCGUAGCUGGUCUGAGAGGAUGAUCAGCCACACUGGAACUGAGACACGGUCCAGACUCCUACGGGAGGCAGCAGUGGGGAAUAUUGGACAAAGGGCGCAAGCCUGAUCCAGCCAUACCGCGUGGGUGAAGAAGGCCUUCGGGUUGUAAAGCCCUUUUGUUGGGAAAGAAAAGCAGCAGGUUAAUACCCCGCUGUUCUGACGGUACCCAAAGAAUAAGCACCGGCUAACUUCGUG
rnacentral:rRNA from 1 species